rnacentral:lncRNA from 1 species
GCCAUAUCCACAACCUCCAUGAUUUCCUUGAUAGGCUCUGUUUUAAAUCCUCUGAAGUUAUGCACGACAUCUGGACACAGUUUUCUCCAGCAGGAAUUUAUUGUUUUGGACUUGAUGCCUUUCACAGCUUUUUCCGUAACAGUGAUGGCAUCUUCAAUGGUGUAAUCUUUCCAGAUUUUCAUGAUGUUUUCUCUAUUAGGGUUCUUUUCCAUAGCAUCCAUAAUCCUUCCCAUAGAGCACUAUGUGUAAUGAGCCUUAAAGGUCCUUAUGACCUCCUGAUCUUCAGACUGAAUUAGAGUUAUCAUGUUUGGGGGCAGGUAAACCAACUCAAUGCCUUCAUUGUUGAACUUAUAGGCUUCUGGGUGGUCAGGGCAUUGUCCAAUAGUAAAAGAACUUUAAAAGGCAGUCCCUUACUGGCAAGGCACUUCCUGACUUCAGGGACAAAGCAUUGAUGGAUUCAAUCCAGAAAAAGGCUUCUUGUUCUCCAGGCCUUCUUAUACAACCAAAAGACUGGCAGCUGGUGUUUAUCUUUUCCCUUCAAGAUUUGGAGCAGGGGAGGGAGGUGGUGGCUAGCAGCUUCUUAGAUGAGGGCAGUCCUGAUCAUAAACCCUACUGCAUUUGUACAAAACAGUAGAGUUAGCCUGUCCCUUCCUGCCUUAUAUCCUGAUGCUUGCUUCUCUUUCUUACUAAAUGUCCUUUGCAGUCUUUUUUUCUUCCCCAGAAUAGGGCACUUUCAUCUGCAUUAAAAAUCUUUUCAGGCUAGGCGUGAGCCACUGCACUGGCCAAUUUUUGUAUUUUUAAUAGAGAUGGGCUUUCAUCACAUUGGCCAAACUGGUCUCGAACUGCUGGCCUCAAUCAGUCCACCCACCUUGGCCUCCCAAAGUGUUGGAAUUACAGGAGUGAGCCACCACACCUGGCCUUAAUUUUUUUUUGGAGACAGUUUCGCUCUGUUGCCCAGGCUAGAGUGCUGUGGCACAAUCUUGGCUCACUGCAACCUUUGUCUCCUGGUUUCAAGCAAUUCUCCUGCCUCAGCCACCCGAGUAGCUGGGAUUAUAGGUGUGCGCUAUCAUGGCCGGCUUUUUGUAUUUUUAGUAGAGAGAGGGUUUCACCAUGUUGGCCAGACUGGUCUCAAACUCCUGACCUGAAGUGAUUUGCCCGCCUUGUCUUCCCAAAUUGCUGGGAUUACAGAUGUGAGCCAUCGUGCCCGGCCAUGAGGACGUGCUUUCAAGUCAAUUGGAUAAAUACCUGGAAGUGUGAUUGCUGGAUCAUAUGGUUAAGUUAGGUUUUAGCUUUGUGAAAAACUGCCAAACUGUCUUCUGAAGUGGCUGUAUCAUUUGUAUGCUCACCAGCAAUGAAUUAGAGUUCCUGUUACUCUGCAUGCUCACAACAUUUGGUAUUGUCAGUUUUUUUAGAUUUUAGCCAUUCCAAUAGGUAUGUCGUAGUAUCUCAUUGUUUUAAUUAGCAGUCCUGUAAUAACAGAUGAUGUUCAGCAUCUUCAUAUGCUUAUUUGCUAUAUGUGUAUCUUCAGUGAGGUGUCUUUAGUCCAUCUUUUAACUAGUUUCUUGUGUUACUAUUUUGUCAUUGAAGAGCUCUUUAUAUAUUUUGGAAUGUAAAUUCUCGAUGUGUUAAACAUUUUUCUCACGAUCUGGCUUGCUUUGAUUUAAAAAUUUUUUUUAUUUCAAUAAUUUUGAGUUAUAGGUGGUUUUGGUUACAUUAAUGAGUUCUUUUGUGGUGAUUUCUGAGUUUUUAGGUGUACCUGAGCAGUGUACACUGUGCCCAAUAUGUAGUCUUAUCCCUCAUUCUUUUUUUUUUUUUUUUUUUUUGAGAUAGGGUCUCUGUCACCCGGGCUGGAGUAUAGUGGUAUGAUUUUGGCUCACUGCAGCUUGACUUCUGGGGCUCAGGCGAUCCUCCUACCGCAGCCUCCAGCCUCCUGAGUAGCUGAUAUCACAGAUGCAUGCCACCAUACUCAGCUACUUUUUUGUAUUUUUUGUAGAGACAGGGUUUCGCCAUGUUGCCCAAGCUGGUCUCGAACUCCUGAGGUCAAAGGAUCUGCUUGCUUCAGCCUCCUAAAGUGCUGGGAUUAUGGGCAUGAGCUACUGGGACUGGCCAAUUUUUUUUUUUUUUCAAGUUGACUUUUUUUUUUUUUUUUAAAGCUACACGGUCUCGAUCUGUUGCCCAGACUGCAGUGCAGUGGCAUGUUCAUAGCUCACUGCAGCUUCAAAUUCCUGGGCUCAAGUGAUCCUCUUGCUUCAGCUUCCCCAAGAAGCUAGGACUAUAGGCCUGUGCCAGCACACCCAGCUAAUUUUUUUUCUUUUUCUUUUUUUUUUUAUUUCAUAGAGACAGGAUCUUGCUAUGUUGCCUGGGCUUUUCUCCAACUCUAAGCCUCAAGUGAUCCUCUUGCCUCAGCUUCCCAAAGUGCUGGGAUUACAGGCAUGAGCCACUGCACCUCGCUUAGGCUAUUUUUUUAAAGAGCAGUUUAAGGUUAUAGGAAAAUGGAGAGGAGGGUACAGAGAUUUCCCAUAUGUGCAUGUCUUCCUCCAUUAUCAGCAACUCCCUGCCAGAGUGGUGGAUUUGUUAUAGUUGAUGAAUUUAUGCUGACACAUCAUCACCUAGAGUUCAUAGCUUACAUUAGGGUUAAUUCAUAGAAUGUUGUAUAUUCUGUGAGUUUAGGCAAAUUUACAAUGAUCUACCAUUAAAAUAUCAUACAGAGUAGUUUCACUACCCUAAAAAAUCUAUGCCCCACCUAUUCAUCCCCUCCUUCCCCGUAAUCUCAGGCAACCAUUGAUCAUUUUAUUGUCCCCAUAGUUUUGCUUUUUUUUUUGACAUGUCAUAUAGUUGGAACCAUAAAGUAUGUAGCCUUUUCAGACUAGCUUCUUUUGCUUAGUAAUAUGCAUUUAAGUUUCCUCCCUGUCUUUUUAUGACUUGAUAGCGUAUUUCUUUACAGUGCUGAAUGAGAUUCCAUGUGCCACAAUUUAUCCACUCACCUAUUGAAGGACAUCUUGGUUGCUUCCAUGCUUUAGCAAUUAUGAAUAAAGCUGCCAUAAGCACCUGUGUAUAGGUUUUUGUGUGUAGGAUGUAAGUUUUCAACUUUGGGUAAAACACCAAGGAGCAUGAUUGCUGGUUAGAAUAUGUUUAGUUUUUUAAGAAAUUGCCCAACUGUCUUCCAAAAUGGCUUUUGCAUUCCUACCAGCAAUGAAUGAGAAUUCCUGUUGCUUCACAUACUUUCCAGUGUUUGGUGUUGUCAGUGUUCUAGAUUUUGGCCAUUCCAACAGGUGUGUAUUAGUAUCAUCAUUUCAGUUUGCAUUUCCCUGAUGACGUGUGAUGUGGAUCAUCUUUUCAUAUACUUGUUUGUCAUCUGUCCAUCUGUCUUGAUUUUUUUUUUUUUAAUUUGUGUUGGCAAAUGAGGGUCAGGAAUUGGAUUUGGGAUCUAGCUUUAAGGAAUUAGUUAGGGUUUGGUAUUUUGAAUGUAAAACGGCC